rnacentral:rRNA from 1 species
AAUAGAUACCCUGGUAGUCCACGCCGUAAACGGUGGGCGCUAGGUGUGGGGGACUUUCCACGUCCUCUGUGCCGCAGCUAACGCAUUAAGCGCCCCGCCUGGGGAGUACGGCCGCAAGGCUAAAACUCAAAGGAAUUGACGGGGGCCCGCACAAGCGGCGGAGCAUGUGGCUUAAUUCGACGCAACGCGAAGAACCUUACCAAGGCUUGACAUGCAGAGAAAUCUCGUAGAGAUACGGGGUCCGCAAGGGCUUUGCACAGGUGGUGCAUGGUUGUCGUCAGCUCGUGUCGUGAGAUGUUGGGUUAAGUCCCGCAACGAGCGCAACCCUUGUCCUAUGUUGCCAGCGAGUAAUGUCGGGGACUCAUAGGAGACUGCCGGGGUCAACUCGGAGGAAGGUGGGGAUGACGUCAAAUCAUCAUGCCCCUUAUGUCUUGGGCUGCACACAUGCUACAAUGGUCGGUACAAAGGGCUGCGAGACCGCAAGGUGGAGCGAAUCCCAAAAAGCCGGCCUCAGUUCGGAUUAGGGU